AUUGAACGCUGGCGGCAGGCCUAACACAUGCAAGUCGAGCGGAGCGGCGGACGGGUGAGUAAGGGCUAGGAAUCUGCCUGGUAGUGGGGAUAACGGACGGAAACGGGCGCCAAUACCGAAUACCAGCAGACGAGCCUAGGGCGGAUUAGCGAGUUGGUGGGGUAACGGCCUACCAAGGAGACGAUCCGUAACUGGUCUGAGAGGAUGAUCAGUCACACUGGAACUGAGACACGGUCCAGACUCCUACGGGAGGCAGCAGUGGGGAAUAUUGGACAAUGGGCGAAAGCCUGAUCCAGCCAUGCCGCGUGUGUGAAGAAGGUCUUCGGAUUGUAAAGCACUUUAAGUUGGGAGGCGUUACCAACAGAAUAAGCACCGGCUAACUCCGUGCCAGCAGCCGCGGUAAUUC
rnacentral:rRNA from 1 species